AUUUCACUCAAGCUAUUCAACCUCAGGAAAAUUUGUUGAAUUCUUUCCCAGGUGGCUUUGGUUUCCACGUGAUGUUUCUCUAACCAUUUUGUGGUUUCAGGUCUUUCAGUUGUUAUUCCAUCAGUUAUGUUUACAUCUGUACUAUUUAAGUAAAUUAUUAUAUAGUGUACUUGGGAGAAACUAAUAGUGCAUUUUGUCUCCAGUAUUUUAAAAGGUAACUUUUAAUUCUAUCAACAGUCAGCAUUUCUUUGUUCUUCUAGGGUUAAAUGAGAACAGCACAUGCUUUUUCUGCAGUAAUAAAACAAUUUGUUCUAGUUUAUGUAUAGUUCGAACUAGGUGAGUUUGAAGCAGCUUAUUGGGAAACAUGUUCAAAUGGUUACUGGUUAAUUAUUAUCUCCAUUUUUCCCCCUACAUUUUAACUGUGAAUAUAACCUUGACCUUUGUAAAGGAGAUGUUUAAUCUUUCUGAAUCAGUAGAGGGGGACAUAGAGGAUGAAGAAACUUUUUUCUUUUUAAACAAGUGAUACAAUUUUCACUCAAGGCUUGACUGUAAAUACGGCCUUUGGCUUAAAGCACUGUGGAGCCACAUCAUGCCAGCAGGAGUGCGGGCAGUGGACAAGCUUACCUGAAAAUCCCAGGAGUUAUGGGAGCAUCUGCAGUUCAGGCACUGUUGCCUUUGAGGAAAGGAUGACUUCAAAAGAAGGGCUGAAAGCCUUCACUGAAGUAUUGAGCCAAAUGGGUACAGUGACACAGACCUCCUUUCUAAAGCAUAUGAAGAUCUCAUGAUGAUCCAGAUUCCAAGAUGGAAGAAGCGCAUGAAAAUAAUAAUAAUAUUUUUGCUUUUUUUCUGCAUCGUCAGAGAAAAAAAAUAAGCAGAAUUUUUAACUUACAUUCGUG